AAACAUUUGGUGGGACCAAGGGGGCAAUGAAUAUUCUCCAUUUUAGGAUUGUUAUAAUUUUAACUGUGUUCCUUAAAGUAAGUUACAGUUGAGACCUGAAAAGAGAGACAAAAAUGGCGAGAACGAGAUGUUACCUUGAUAUCACCAUUGGUGAUGAACUUGAAGGUCGUAUUGUUGUGGAACUUUACAACGACGUCGUUCCAAAAACUGCAGAAAAUUUCCGAGCUCUUUGUACCGGUGAAAAAGGUGUCGGUCCUCAUACUGGUGUUCCCCUUCAUUACAAGGGAUGUUCGUUUCAUCGUAUCGUCAAGAGCUUUAUGAUUCAAGGCGGAGACAUAUCUGCUGGAGAUGGCACCGGAGGAGAGUCAAUAUAUGGAUUGAAAUUCAAGGAUGAAAACUUUGAGUUGAAACACGAAAGGAAGGGAAUGUUAUCGAUGGCUAAUAGCGGGCCUGAUACCAAUGGUUCUCAGUUUUUCAUAACAACAACUCGGACUUCUCAUUUAGACGGAAAACAUGUUGUGUUUGGUCGAGUGAUCAAAGGUAUGGGAGUUGUUCGCACGAUUGAGCAUGUCAACACAGAGGAUAAUGAACGUCCCACCCAGGAUGUUAUUAUUUCCGAUUGUGGUGAAAUCCCUGAGGGGGCUGAUGAUGGCAUUGCGGAUUUGUUUAAGGAUGGCGAUACAUAUCCUGAUUGGCCAGCUGACCUUGAUCAAUGUCCUAAUGAACUCUCUUGGUGGACGGAAGCUGUUGAUUCUGUUAAGGCGCUUGGAAAUGAACACUUCAAGAAACAAGAUUAUAAAAUGGCUCUAAGGAAGUAUAGAAAAGCAUUACGGUAUUUAGAUGAAUGCUGGGAGAAAGACGGGGUUGAUGAAGAGAAAAGUUCCGCCUUGCGAAAGAUCAAGUCGCAAGUGUUCACAAACAGUUCUGCUUGUAAGUUGAAGUUGGGAGAUUUAAAGGGUGCUUUGUUGGACACGGAGUUCGCUAUGCGUGAUGGUGAGGAUAACGUCAAGGCCUUGUUUCGCCAAGGACAGGCACAUAUGGCUCUUAAUGACAUAGAUGCUGCAGUUACUAGUUUCAGAAAGGCAUUAGAUUUGGAGCCUAAUGAUGCUGGAAUAAAGAGAGAGCUCGCAAUUGCAAAGAAGAAGAUUGCUGAUAGACGUGACCAAGAGCGAAAAGCCUACUCUAAGAUGUUCCUAUAGUUCUCCUGUUUUCGUUCAUGUUGUCAAUGGAUUCAGGCGAUAUGCUUUACAGGCAUUGCUCUACCACAAACGAGGCGACUAUAGCUAAUAAUGGAACCAUCGGGGUGACGCCUGCAAAGUAAAGCCUGAGCCAAGAUUAUUGGAGAAGUUUAGGAAUUAUGACCUUAUCAUUCACUUUUCAGCAAGGCCUUUGAGAGUUUUUCUGAAUUUUUCUCUUGUAAGAAAAACAAUUCUAUUAAAAAUGGAAUCUUUUGAUAUCCAUCUCUUUGAAUUCUAAUCAUAUAAUCUUACAUUUUUAAAAUAGUAUUUUAAAACUCAAUUUAUUUCCUUUUUCCCAUUCUUGUAAAUUGUACUAUUCACUUCUUUCGGUUCUCAGUUCUUUGGAGUUUGGCCCAUUAGCUUUUUUUUCUAAUCUUUAUUGGUACUCCCUCUAUUACUUGGAUUGCUUAACGUUUGUCCCAUCUAUAGUACACUUUCGUUUAGUUGGCAUUCACCCUUCUUACUUUUGCAACUCAUUUGGACCUAAGUAUUAACAUAUGGAAAUGUUUAUGAAAGUUGGCGUAAUUUUUGUA